rnacentral:rRNA from 1 species
UUCCUGGCGGCGAUGGAGCACUGGAACCACCUGAAUCCAUGCCGAACUCAGAAGUGAAACGGUGUAUCGCCGAUGAUAGUGUGGGGCCUCCCCAUGCGAAAGUAGGUCACCGCCAGGGCCUUA